CAUCGCUCCAACGCUCAGCGCCCAUAAUUUGCUCAACUUCCCAGCUCCAUCGCAGCUAAAGUUGUGGGAAGCUGCUCCUCCUAGAUGCAAUCCACUGAAGACUCCAAAAGAUCAUCAAGGCCAGGGAAAACUCCAGAGUACCAAGGAAAUCAUCCACCUGUAAAAGAAAAAUAAAGUAUAUCAAACAGGAA